GCGCCAGUAGUCUAGUUUGGUUAGGACAUAGGCUUGCCAAGCCUAUAGCCCGGGUUCAAAUCCCGGCUGGCGCA
rnacentral:tRNA from 1 species